CUUAAUUGCGGUUCAUUCAUGCAAAACAAAAGAUAUGCAAAUCGCCAUUCUCCUAAUUGGUUCAGGCAAAUUUUAAAGUUUUUAGUUGGUCGACACAACUUUGUGCAAGCUUUAAUAAAAAAAAACAUCAAUUGUAAAUCAGUAAAGAACGUCAUGAAAGCGCAAUCCAGGUUACAAUUGCUUAUCGCCCUGUUCCUCUUGGUCCUUGGGUUGACGACAAGUUUGGCUGAAAGUUCGCCGAUGACGAUGAGAGUGGCCAGGAACCGAUGGGGGACUAAUAGAAGGCCAAAUAAAUUUGGAACUGGAAUUAAUAUUUAUAGUGAUAACAGAGGUUCCGGGGGAUACGGAUUUCCAAUCGGUAGGUACAGAUACUGAUUGGGUCCGUGGGCAUGGGGGUAGGGAAAUAAAAGUCACAUCCUAAAUCUGUGCAUGUUUUUAUUUAAGUUUUCAUGCGAAUAAUGGUUAAAUUUUGAUGUAUAUACAUAUCUAGCUCACUAAUAAAUAACUAACUAAAUAAAUAAAACGUGCGGUUUCCGUUGAAUGAAGUUUCCGUUGAAUAAUA